CACUCCAUCAUCGCAUGGUGGGGGGUGGAAAGCUUUAUUGUGGUUUUGGAUGGACUCGCGGCCUAUCAGCUUGUUGGUGAGGUAAUGGCUCACCAAGGCGACGACGGGUAGCCGGCCUGAGAGGGUGACCGGCCACACUGGGACUGAGACACGGCCCAGACUCCUACGGGAGGCAGCAGUGGGGAAUAUUGCACAAUGGGCGCAAGCCUGAUGCAGCGACGCCGCGUGAGGGAUGACGGCCUUCGGGUUGUAAACCUCUUUCAGUAGGGAAGAAGCGAAAGUGACGGUACCUGCAGAAGAAGCGCCGGCUAACUACGUGCCAGCAGCCGCGGUAAUACGUAGGGCGCAAGCGUUAUCCGGAAUUAUUGGGCGUAAGAGCUCGUAGGCGGUUUGUCGCGUCUGCCGUGAAAGUCCGGGGCUCAACUCCGGAUCUGCGGUGGGUACGGGCAGACUAGAGUGAUGUAGGGGAGACUGGAAUUCCUGGUGUAGCGGUGAAAUGCGCAGAUAUCAGGAGGAACACCGAUGGCGAAGGCAGGUCUCUGGGCAUUAACUGACGCUGAGGAGCGAAAGCAUGGGGAGCGAACAGGAUUAGAUACCCUGGUAGUCCAUGCCGUAAACGUUGGGCACUAGGUGUGGGGGACAUUCCACGUUUUCCGCGCCGUAGCUAACGCAUUAAGUGCCCCGCCUGGGGAGUACGGCCGCAAGGCUAAAACUCAAAGGAAUUGACGGGGGCCCGCACAAGCGGCGGAGCAUGCGGAUUAAUUCGAUGCAACGCGAAGAACCUUACCAAGGCUUGACAUGGGCCGGACCGGGCUGGAAACAGUCCUUCCCCUUUGGGGCCGGUUCACAGGUGGUGCAUGGUUGUCGUCAGCUCGUGUCGUGAGAUGUUGGGUUAAGUCCCGCAACGAGCGCAACCCUCGUUCCAUGUUGCCAGCGCGUAAUGGCGGGGACUCAUGGGAGACUGCCGGGGUCAACUCGGAGGAAGGUGGGGACGACGUCAAAUCAUCAUGCCCCUUAUGUCUUGGGCUUCACGCAUGCUACAAUGGCCGGUACAAAGGGUUGCGAUACUGUGAGGUGGAGCUAAUCCCAAAAAGCCGGUCUCAGUUCGGAUUGGGGUCUGCAACUCGACCCCAUGAAGUCGGAGUCGCUAGUAAUCGCAGAUCAGCAACGCUGCGGUGAAUACGUUCCCGGGCCUUGU
rnacentral:rRNA from 2 species